AUACGUAGGGAGCGAGCGUUGUCCGGAUUUACUGGGUGUAAAGGGUGCGUAGGCGGGUCGGCAAGUCAGAUGUGAAAUACCGGGGCUUAACUCCAGGGCUGCAUUUGAAACUGUUGAUCUUGAGUGAAGUAGAGGCAGGCGGAAUUCCUAGUGUAGCGGUGAAAUGCGUAGAUAUUAGGAGGAACACCAGUGGCGAAGGCGGCCUGCUGGGCUUUAACUGACGCUGAGGCACGAAAGCAUGGGGAGCAAACAGGAUUAGAUACCCGGGUAGUCCAUGCCGUAAACGAUGAUUGCUAGCUGUGGGGGGACUGACCCCUUCCGUGCCGGAGUAAACACAAUAAGCAAUCCACCUGGGGAGUACGACCGCAAGGUUGGAACUCAAAGGAAUUGACGGGG
rnacentral:rRNA from 1 species